rnacentral:rRNA from 1 species
UUCAUCUGGGGGCUAGGCUUCCCCCUUCACCCCUUUGUCAGGGGUUUGAUGUUCUUUUAUGGUUUGGAUUUCCAUGAUCUCGCCCCAAACUCCUUUUUGCAUAUCUCGGCCUUCAUCAUUAUCUGCGAGGCCCUUCUUCGGGUCUGGCCACACUUCGGCUUGUGGCUGAAGGUCUUCAAUAUCAAGCCCAAUAUUGUGGAAGACCAACAAGAAGACUGCGGGGGGGCUAUGGUUAGUAAACUCCCCCGCGUCGACUGGUCGAACGGUACUUUCAUAGGGACCAUCAAGAUCUGGCAAAAAGAGUGGUUCUACAUCACGGAACUGCAAGGUGCAGACUGGGCAGAGACCCAGUCUUCCGAUUCGGACCCCCCCCCCACCAGGCUGGUCUCAUGGACCAAGAAAGGCCUAGACUGGGGGUCAACUACAAAGGUGGAGUGGCUUCAGAGCCGGAUAUCCAAGAUGGUGAAGAAGAAGGUUGAGUUACCCAAC